rnacentral:rRNA from 1 species
UUGGAAACGUCUGCUAACACCCCAUAUGCCUUUAUCACAAAAGUGAGCAAGGGAAAUAUUUAUAGCUCUAGGAUCGGCCUGUACGGUAUCAGCUAGUUGGUGAGGUAAUGGCUCACCAAGGCAAUGACACCUAACUGGUUUGAGAGGAUGAUCAGUCACACUGGAACUGAGACACGGUCCAGACUCCUACGGGAGGCAGCAGUGGGGAAUAUUGCACAAUGGACGAAAGUCUGAUGCAGCAACGCCGCGUGGAGGAUGACACAUUUCGGUGCGUAAACUCCUUUUAUAUAGGAAGAUAAUGACGGUACUAUAUGAAUAAGCACCGGCUAACUCCGUGCUAGCAGCCGCGGUAAUACGGAGGGUGCAAGCGUUACUCGGAAUUACUGGGCGUAAAGAGCGUGUAGGCGGGUAAAUAAGUUGGAAGUGAAAUCCUAUGGCUCAACCAUAGAACUGCUUCCAAAACUGUUAACCUAGAAUGUGGGAGAGGUAGAUGGAAUUUCUGGUGUAGGGGUAAAAUCCGUAGAUAUCAGAAGGAUUACCGAUUGCGAAGGCGAUCUACUGGAACACUAUCGACGCUGAGACGCGAAAGCGUGGGGAGCAAACAGGAUUAGAUACCCUGGUAGUCCACGCCCUAAACGAUGUACACUAGUUGUUGUGAGGCUAGACCUUGCAGUAAUGCAGUUAACACAUUAAGUGUACCGCCUGGGGAGUACGGUCGCAAGAUUAAAACUCAAAGGAAUAGACGGGGACCCGCACAAGCGGUGGAGCAUGUGGUUUAAUUCGACAUACGCGAAGAACCUUACCUGGUCUUGACAUAGAAAGAACUUUCCAGAGAUGGAUUGGUGCCUGCUUGCAGGAGCUUUCAUACAGGUGCUGCACGGCUGUCGUCAGCUCGUGUCGUGAGAUGUUGGGUUAAGUCCCGCAACGAGCGCAACCCUCGUCGUUAGUUGCUAACAGUUCGGCUGAGAACUCUAACGAGACUGCCUACGCAAGUAGGAGGAAGGUGAGGACGACGUCAAGUCAUCAUGGCCCUUACGACCAGGGCUACACAUGUGCUACAAUGGGGUAUACAAAGAGCAGCGAUACGGUGACGUGGAGCGAAUCUCAAAAAUGCCUCCCAGUUCGGAUAGUAGUCCGCAACUCGACUACUUGAAGUUGGAAUCGCUAGUAAUCGUAGAUCAGCUAUGCUACGGUGAAUACGUUCCCGGGUCUUGUACUCACCGCCCGUCACACCAUGGGAGUUGAGUUCAUUCGAAGC